UAGGGAAUCUUCCACAAUGGACGCAAGUCUGAUGGAGCAACGCCGCGUGAGUGAAGAAGGUUUUCGGAUCGUAAAGCUCUGUUGUUGGUGAAGAAGGAUAGAGGUAGUAACUGGCCUUUAUUUGACGGUAAUCAACCAGAAAGUCACGGCUAACUACGUGCCAGCAGCCGCGGUAAUACGUAGGUGGCAAGCGUUGUCCGGAUUUAUUGGGCGUAAAGCGAGCACAGGCGGAAGAAUAAGUCUGAUGUGAAAGCCCUCGGCUUAACCGAGGAACUGCAUCGGAAACUGUUUUUCUUGAGUGCAGAAGAGGAGAGUGGAAUUCCAUGUGUAGCGGUGGAAUGCGUAGAUAUAUGGAAGAACACCAGUGGCGAAGGCGACUCUCUGGUCUGCAACUGACGCUGAGGCUCGAAAGCAUGGGUAGCGAACAGG
rnacentral:rRNA from 1 species